CUUUUGUGAUGGCUCAAUUCUCUGGCAGGAUCCUCAGGUGUGGCUGGACGAUCUGGACACAGUGGCACCAAUUUCUCCCUCAGCAACUUAUCAAUAGUGGAAGAGCUUUCUUCCCAGGAGCUCCAGCUAAGUCCUAAGCUUGGCUCCUUGGUCACAUGCCAUCAUGCUUCCUGAGCCAAUCAUGACUGACUGUACUGUUGAAGUGACUGUGGUCCAGCUCUGCAGCCAGGAGCGAUCAGCCAUGAAGUCACAUGGUCUGAUGAAAGACAGUUUUCCAAAAAUUUUGGUUUUUCCUUGAGUGUGGUUGCCACAUGCACACAUGGAUGCACAGAGGCCAGACAAGGGUGUCGUGUCUUCCUUUAUCAUUCUCCACUUUCUUCCUUUAAGAUAAGUGAACUGACUUCUGUGAAGCACCAAGUGCCAUUUGGAGUGAAUUAUUUUAGAGAAACCUGGAUUUGGAAGGUUUCAAAAGAAAGCCUGGGAGGACAGUCAACGUGUGGCAUGGUCAGAUACUCAUGGGAACAGCAACGGGGAAGCUGAAGAUGACACAGAAACCACAGGAAGUGGGAGAAGACAGGAACAUGGAAUGUCUGCCAAGGAAAGCCACAGGAAAGAGGAGCUAGCCCAGCAGAGAGGCCAUGUGGGCUUUGACAACUGCCUAUGGGGUGGGCUGCCAAGUCCAUUGGCACUCAGCAAGUCCAAAGCUAUGGUCAGAACUUGCCUGCUGAGUUCCGGUCUUUGUCUUUAUUCCUUUCUACACUCCAGUGGCCCUGUCUGUAACGGGAAUGAAUGCUUAUUCUGUGCCACCGUGUAUUGUUUUUUUGUUUCCCCCACCCAGAGACAGGGUUUCUCUCUGUAGCCCUGUAGACCAGGCUGGCCUUGAAUCCAGAGAUUCACUUGCCUUUACCUACCAAGUGCUGGGAU